CGCAACAAUAGAAUUACCAUAUUGUUUUUCCUGGUUUGAAAGGACCAGAUGGAAAGAAACUGGGCAAGCCAAUGAAAGUCUCUGGGGAUCAUGGGAAUUGAGUGUCUAUGAAAACCAUAUUCCAGACAAGAAUAUAGUCUAAGGUUUAUGGGACUCCCCAGUACUCUCCAUGUAGAGUCUAAUGUAGAAUCCAGGAGUGCACAGAAAAGUCACUGGAUGACACAGCAAGAGGCAACAUUUUGGAAGCAGAGGGCAACUCUCACUGGAAACCAAAUCUCCUGGCACCUUGAUCUUGGAUUUUACAGCCUCCAGAACUGAUAGCUGGGAGGCAUUACAUAGUCAUGUGCGAGGUCAAAACUGAGUCACCACCACAACCAAGUUCCAGCUGGCAAGAAGAGGAAAAAUAACACAGAGGAGUUAUGACCAGUGUUGUAAGGAUCUGGCCUAGAAAUGGCAUGCAUCUCUUCCACUAAUAUCCUAUUGGUAAAAAUGUAGUCACAUGGGCACACCACCUAUCUGCAUGGAAGGCUGGGAAAUGUUGAUCGGUAGGGCAGCCAUAUGUGUAGGAAGGAGAAAACAGAAUUUGGUGGAUACCUAGUAGUCUCUGCCAUACCCUUGACCAGAAAUUUUUCUUCUAAAGAAUUUAAUUCUAAAAGUUAUAGACAUUCCCAAAGAUAUACCUGCAAGCAUCACAGCUUUGUGUAUAAUUGCAAAAGUUGAAAUCAACAUGAAUGCCCAAAAUAGUGAAUUAUUUAAACAGAUUAUUACCCAUAUUAUGAAGAAAUACUCUGCAACUCUUAAAAAUAAAUGUAAUGUGCCAGGCGCAAUGGGAUAUGCCUGCAGGCCCAGCUACACGGGAGGCCAAGGCAGGAGGAUCACUUGAAAUCAAGAGUUCAAGUCUAGCCUAGACAACAUAGUGAGACUUGGUCUCUAAAAAAGAAAAAAAAAAAUAAAACUGAUGUAAUGAAUAUAUAAUUACAACAAAAGAGGUCUAACACUAUAGUAGAAAAGUUUGGGGCACUCAUCCCAUUCAUAAUUAUUUUACAUUUAAAUUACUGUUCCUACUUAAGUGGUGAGCUUGGUAACCAUUUUCAUAUCAGGUGAUACUGCUGCAGUAAUCAUAGCUGUUUGAAUCAGGAAUAAUCCCAAUCACAUUUUCUCUUAAUCGUUUAUUAUACUGGGCAUUGGGGUUGCAAGAUAAUGCACAGUCCGAGCUCAAUACAUGUCUUCAUGUACCUGUAUGUAAAUCCCACUUUUAUUCUAAAAUUCUUUGAAUAUUUUGUUUCUUGGAACCCAAUGAUCCUAAGAAAAUUAUGUACUUUUACCUGAAAAUUAAAACCAAUAUUUAUAAAAAGUGUAUAUGCAGUAUGAUACCACUUUUAAAAAAAGAUAAAUUUAUAGAAAAAAGUUUAUAUGACUGACAACAAUGUCUCUGAGUGGUAGGAUUACAGUUAAUUUUUAUUUUCUUCAUUCUACUUAUCUUUAUUUUCUGAACUUUCUACAAUGAACAUGUUUUAUUUUUACUUUUGUUAAAAUAAAUAACAUUUAAUUUGACGGAAAAUUCUAAAAAUCAACAUUUGGUAACUUAAAUAUUCAUUGGCACAUGAUUCUGUGCCUGUUUCUGGGGGUCAUUCCCAUGAGAAGAGCAGGUAGAACUUAUGAGAAUAGAGCAGUCGAAAUAUUAUAGGUUUCAUAUUUUACGGCUUUAUUGAAAACAUUGAUAUAUUGAAUAUUCAUAAAUUUUAAUUUAACUUUCUUUUAUAAUCCUUAAUGUGAGGCUAAGGUAUAAGGAGAAAGGAGAUUGGUAAGGAAGUGUGAUACAUAUUGAAUCAGGUGUCAAGGUACCAUUUGUGCCUGGAUCUGACCAAUAGACCAAGGUAAAAAUCUCAAAGAAUGAGACUUGUAAUGAGAAUGCCACAAACUUGAAUACCUUAUGCACAAAACACAAACAUUGUUAUGCAUAAUGUACAUGAACCCUGAAACAAAGAUAAUGAUUUGGACCACCCAACUGAAGUGGCAUGUUAUGUUUUUGGCAUGAACAAAAGAAACAAGAGAGAAAAAAAUCAAAAUAAUUAAAAUAAAUUGUUAGAGAAAAGUUACUUUAAAAAUAGCUAUAACGCUUUGCAAUUUCAGUAACAGUUCUGCCUCUGAUGCAAUGUAAAACAUGUAUUAGACAUUCAGGCUCCACAAUAAAUUUUAAUGAGCACUACAAAUUUAGAAUAUAUAAAAAUAUCAGUAACCUAUGAAUUCAUCAACAUAACUCACUUUUCAGUUAAGUUAGGCUGAGUUGAAAUUCUACUAAGUUUUCCCAUAUUCUUGAUAAAGGCUAAAUUUGAAAUAAUUUAUUUAGAUGACUAAUUGGCAAUUUGAUAGUAGUUACAUUUUAUGUAACACUUGAUAUAAUAACCCAAAUUAAUUAGCUCAAUAUUAUCUUCUGUGGUUUAUUGAUCCAAAAGUACAUAUUUGUUAUGUAAACUUAUACUAUGUAAACUUGAAUUAGUUUUUUGCUUCCUUGAAUUAAUAAAGCCCAUUAAUGCAAAUCUAAGCCUUCAUAGACUUUUCCAAUCCUUAGUUAAAUAUUAAAAACUGAGUAUUGUAGUUAUUUGCUAGGUAUAAAAGGUGACUCAGAGUAGAGAGUAAGAUGUCAGCAAAUAGACAAUAAGAUGUCAGCAAAAGUGCCUCAAAUUUUAACUGCGUCAAGUUAAGGGCAUUGUAAAUACUGUAGUUUUAUGUAGCUUGCAACUUCUACUGAAAUGAGUUUAAUCAUGUCUUUCACAUAGCUGAAGUUUGUGUCAAGAUUUAAGCUGAUUUUCUCAUUCUUAUCAAAGUCUCACCUGGGGGUAGGGAGGGGUAGGCCUACCUCCCACCUCUAUACUAUCAUUUUAGGAACAGACAGGCAUAAAUCUGUUCAUAUGGUAGAACACAUGAUGUUAGAGUAUAUUUUGUUGAAUGCUAUGGAAUAUUAAUAUAAUUAAUUCUAAAAUAUCACCUAAAAUAUGUCAACUGAAGAUCUGACUGUACUAAAUAUGAAAAAUAAAGCAGCACAUACUUUCU
rnacentral:lncRNA from 1 species